rnacentral:rRNA from 1 species
GAUGAACGCUGGCGGCGUGCCUAACACAUGCAAGUCGAACGGAGUCCAGCCUUUAAGACCUUCGGGUCAAAGAGGGGAAGACUGAGUGGCGGACGGGUGAGUAACACGUGGGCAACCUGGCUCAUAGAGGGGGAUAACAGAGAGAAAUUUCUGCUAAUACCGCAUAAGCACACACUGCCGCAUGGCAGAGGGUGAAAAGAGAAUCGCUAUGAGAUGGACCCGCGUCUGAUUAGCCAGUUGGCAGGGUAAGAGCCUACCAAAGCGACGAUCAGUAGCCGACCUGAGAGGAUGAACGGCCACAUUGGGACUGAGACACGGCCCAAACUCCUACGGGAGGCAGCAGUGGGGGAUAUUGCACAAUGGGGGGAAACCCUGAUGCAGCGACGCCGCGUGAAGUGAAAGAAAGUAUUUUCGGUAUGUAAAAGCUUUAUCAAGCCAGGGAAAG